CUAAUGCAAGUAGCUGUAAGAGCAGUUGGAAGUCUGACAACGAGCAUUAAUUUUAAUGAAAUAAUUCCCUUUGGCACCCAGGUAACCAGAAACGGUCUAGGUCAGGUGCUAGGAAACACUGCAGAGGACGCCGUCAGCAGGAAGACACACUUCUCCAUGAACAUCGCCAUCCAGGAAGCGAGCUGUGCCUACAGAGUGCUGGGCCCCGAGGAGGCCUGGCACUGGGAAAUGGAUCAAUCCUUCCUCUUAAGAAACACUUGAGAAGCACAUAGGCAACUAUUUCAUAGGAGAAUGAAUAACAAGAAAGAAAGAAAAAGAAAACACAGAAGGGGUAACAGAGAAACUGACUUCCACAGACCUAGAGGGAAACGGUUGUUUUUUUAACGGAGGUAGAACAGAUUCGGAGCGCCUUCGAAGAAGAAAGAAGAGCCCCUGACCACACACUGUCCAGAGACGUGGAUCAGGAGGAGUGCCCAGGUUAACCGGCAAGACGAGAGUAAUCAGCGAUUCGGUGAUGAGGCAGGGGCAGGAGGGUGGCUGUCCAAUCGCCUACGCGGAAGGACGUGGAGGAUCAUUCUGCAUCAGAGCAGGUCCGUGUUGGGGCAAGAACAGUCCAGAGGGAAACCCCAAGACAAAGUCCCCGAGGCGGGAGCAUCCCUGGCGUGAAUCAGGGAGACAGAGCAGAUCAGAGCGAAGUCGGAGAAGCAGUGGCCUUGAACGAUACUCAUCUGGAGGCUACAGACAUGGUUGUGUGAAGCUGACAGAUAGGAUCAUCUGUUUGAAUGCCUCUGGACACCGUGGGAAGACAAAAAAGAUAACUAUUAAAGAAUAUCAAGAGAUUUUGCUCUUGGAGACAUUCAGAUGCAUGACUAUGGAUCAACUUCUCAGGAUACAAGAAGAGUGUCAGGAAGCUGGAGCUUUUUCAGGAACACUGGGAAACCCAGCCAAGGUUUAUCUCUCCACAAUUACAAAUGACUAAUAGUAGCAAUGAAAGCAAGACUAAGUUUUAAAAGACUGAGAUGAUGCACAGUGUAUUCUCUGAUCACAAUAGAAUUGAAUCAGAAACCAAACAAAAAGAUAGGUGGAAAAUCCCUAAGUAUUUGCCAACGAAAUAACACAUGUCAGAAUAAUUUAUGGGCC
rnacentral:lncRNA from 1 species